GUGCUCACUUUGGCAGCACAUACACUAAAAUUGGAAUGAUACAGAGAUUAGCAUGGACCCUGCACAAAGAUGACAUGCAAACUGGUGAAGCAUUUCAUAUUUUU
ensembl:snRNA U6 U6 spliceosomal RNA